UAUUGGGUUUAAAGGGAGCGUAGGCGGAUUAUUAAGUCAGUGGUGAAAGACGGUGGCUCAACCAUCGUUAGCCAUUGAAACUGGUAGUCUUGAGUGCAGACAGGGAUGCUGGAACUCGUGGUGUAGCGGUGAAAUGCUUAGAUAUCACGAUGAACUCCGAUCGCGAAGGCAGGUGUCCGGGCUGCAACUGACGCUGAGGCUCGAAAGUGUGGGUAUCAAACAGGAUUAGAUACCCUGGUAGUCCACACAGUAAACGAUGUAUACUCGCGGUUUGCGAUACAAUGUAAGCCGCCAAGCGAAAGCAUUAAGUAUACCACCUGGGGAGUACGCCGGCAACGGUGAAACUCAAAGGAAUUGACGGGGGCCCGCACAAGCGGAGGAACAUGUGGUUUAAUUCGAUGAUACGCGAGGAACCUUACCCGGGCUUGAACUAGGAGUGACAGAUUUAGAGAUAGAUCUUUCUUCGGACACUCUUGGAGGUGCUGCAUGGUUGUCGUCAGCUCGUGUCGUGAGAAG
rnacentral:rRNA from 1 species